UUUGUAAAACGUAGCCCCGCCUCUUGACGUAUCUUCCGGGCGCCGCAGAGAGCGGCCUUGGGUCGGAGGGCGGGGCGCCGAGGUCUUGGACCUGAGAGGGUCGUGAGGGGGCUGCAGCCUGGCCGAGGGUCAGGCUGGGGUGCAGCAGAACCCGGCCCUGUGCGCGCCUCGCGGGGAGGUUGAGAGACCCAGGGCACAAUUCGGGCGGGGCUUGCCUGGUUUUAUUUACGCCUUAUAAAGACCCGUUUUAGAAGCUACUGCUGUAGUCCUGGAUGAGAGCUGUGAGUGCGUUGGAGAAGGGCGGAAGGCAGUAGAGGUGGAAACGAGAGGGGGACUUGGGUUUUGUUUCGAAGGGUUUGGUUUAGGGGGCGGGAGGUGUGUCAAGGAUUCCGAAUUCCUCACGUGACCAGUUGGAUGACUAUUGGUGCCACUUAGUGAGAAUGGGUAGGCUGAGGUAGGAGCUGAUCUGGACGUGUGCAUUUUGAGCUCUUGGUGACUCCCGCACGUGGGAAUGACAUGCAGAUGGAUGAUCAUGUCUGGUCCAUCCACAGAGAAGGGAUCUGGACAGAAGGUGUUACUUUGGGAAUCGUUGGCAUAUAAAUGGUAACCAAAGCUACCAGAAUGAACGGAACCUAGGGAGAGCGCAUAAAGCAAACUUUUCUUGUAAAGGGCUGGGACCCAAUGACCCCUGAGGGAAGCCACAGAAGAGACGAGGACUGCCUCUCCUGCUUCCCCAAAGGUCCUCCUUCUGAAUUCUCCAGCCCCCUUUUCAUCAGCAGCCCUCCAGGCCAACCCCCUCCCCUCCAGCUGGGCUCCACUACCUUCAGAGCCAGGAGACUCUUGUUGAUUUCUGCGCCCUCCAUGCGGGUCUGCCGGUCAGCACUGGA